rnacentral:rRNA from 1 species
GGGGUGCUCGAGUGGCGAACGGGUGAGUAACACGUGAGUAACCUGCCCUUGACUUUGGGAUAACUCCAGGAAACUGGGGCUAAUACCGGAUAGGAGCUCCUGCUGCAUGGUGGGGGUUGGAAAGUUUCGGCGGUUGGGGAUGGACUCGCGGCUUAUCAGCUUGUUGGUGGGGUAAUGGCCUACCAAGGCGGCGACGGGUAGCCGGCCUGAGAGGGUGGACGGCCACAUUGGGACUGAGAUACGGCCCAG